rnacentral:rRNA from 1 species
UACGUAGGGCGCAAGCGUUAUCCGGAAUUAUUGGGCGUAAAGAGCUCGUAGGCGGUUUGUCGCGUCUGCCGUGAAAGUCCGGGGCUCAACUCCGGAUCUGCGGUGGGUACGGGCAGACUAGAGUGAUGUAGGGGAGACUGGAAUUCCUGGUGUAGCGGUGAAAUGCGCAGAUAUCAGGAGGAACACCGAUGGCGAAGGCAGGUCUCUGGGCAUUAACUGACGCUGAGGAGCGAAAGCAUGGGGAGCGAACAGGAUUAGAACCUACCGUCGUA